ensembl:lncRNA
CAAACAUGUAGUCUGUGUGGGUGUAUUUGUUCUUCUGUGCAAACAUGAUUGAGUUAUCUAGAAGAAACACAGCAGGAGUUGAUUUCAGGCAAAACACAGGGUGGUACAGUAUGGGGGAGAGAAGCCGUGUGAAGGUGGGGGCGUGGUGGCAGACACCAGGGCAUGCAAGCCCUCAAUCUGGGAAAGCACAGAGCGGUGAGGCGGAGGCUACAGUAGGAGGGCAGGGGAUUUCAUCACAGGGCCUCAGGGCAUGGACUGCAUAUGAUUUCUCUAUAUAUGAUGAGACUCAGCCUCAAAGUGGAUUCCAAGUAUUGGGCAAUCUCUCUUCAACCGCCUUCCCAAAUGGUCAUUCUUUGAGUUGCUUUCAUCAUGAAGAAUCUAGUGUUGUGACCAACUUGAGAAGGCCACCCUUCCCCGUAUUCACUGCUGCUGCUGCUACUGCUGCUAAGUCACUUCAGUCGUGUCCGACUCUGUGCGACCCCAUAGACGGCAGCCCACCAGGCUCCCCCAUCCCUGGGAUUCUCCAGGCAAGAACACCGGAGUGGGUUGCCACUUCGUGGCAUAUUCAUGAAAGGAAGGCAUCUCUUGGAAGUGACAGGAGACAAUGUUCCUGAAGAGUCUACUGACAGAUCCCAUCUGCAGUCCAGAAAACCUACAAAUCCCUUGUCUGGAUUUUAUUUUUUAUUUUAAAUAUAGUUUAAAAUUUAUAGUUAAGUUACAGUUAAGUUUCAGGGCUACAAUAUAGUGAGUGAUUCACAAUGUUGAAAGGUUAUACUCCAUUUAUAUUUAUUAUAAAAUAUCUGAUAUAUUUCCCGAGCUGUACAACAUAUCCUGUGGCUUAGUUACUUUAUACAUGGUAGUCUGUACCUCUGAAUCCCUUACUCCUAUCUAGCCACCCCCUCCUUUCCUCUCCCCACUCGUAAUCACUAGUUUGUUCUCUGUAUCUGUGAGUAUGCUUAUUUUUUGUUAUAUUCACUGAUUUAUUUUUUCUACAUAUAAGUGAUAUCAUACACUAUUUAUUUUUCUC